GACGUAGGGCGCAAGCGUUGUCCGGAUUUAUUGGGCGUAAAGGGCUCGUAGGCGGUCUGUUGCGUCAGGAGUUAAAACUCGGGGCUUAACCCCGAGCCUGCUUCUGAUACGGGCAGACUAGAGGUAUGCAGGGGAGAACGGAAUUCCUGGUGUAGCGGUGAAAUGCGCAGAUAUCAGGAGGAACACCGGUGGCGAAGGCGGUUCUCUGGGCAUUACCUGACGCUGAGGAGCGAAAGUGUGGGGAGCGAACAGG
rnacentral:rRNA from 1 species